GAUCAUGGCUCAGGAUGAACGCUAGCGGCAGGCUUAACACAUGCAAGUCGAGGGGUAUUGGUUUUCGGACCAAGAGACCGGCGCACGGGUGCGUUAACGCGUAUGCAAUCUACCUUUUGCAGAGGGAUAGCCCAGAGAAAUUUGGAUUAAUACCUCAUAGUAUAGUACUUUGGCAUCAAGGAACUAUUAAAGUCACAACGGCAAAAGAUGAGCAUGCGUCCCAUUAGCUAGUUGGUAAGGUAACGGCUUACCAAGGCUACGAUGGGUAGGGGUUCUGAGAGGGAGAUCCCCCACACUGGUACUGAGACACGGACCAGACUCCUACGGGAGGCAGCAGUGAGGAAUAUUGGACAAUGGGCGCAAGCCUGAUCCAGCCAUGCCGCGUGCAGGAUGACGGUCCUAUGGAUUGUAAACUGCUUUUAUACAGGAAGAAACACUCCGACGUGUCGGAGCUUGACGGUACUGUAAGAAUAAGGAUCGGCUAACUCCGUG
rnacentral:rRNA from 1 species